rnacentral:rRNA from 1 species
AUUGAACGCUAGCGGGAUGCCUUACACAUGCAAGUCGAACGGAGUGGAGAACGGGUGAGUAAGGUAUUGGAACGAGCCCAGUAGCGGGGGAUAACGACGCGAAAGCGUAGAUAAGACCGCAUACUAUGGGAGCAGCCGAAAGCGGAUUAGCUAGUUGGGGGGGUAACGGCCCACCAAGGCGACGAGCCGUAGCUGGUUUGAGAGGACGACCAGCCACACUGGGACUGAGACACGGCCCAGACUCCUACGGGAGGCAGCAGUGGGGAAUUUUGGACAAUGGGGGAAACCCUGAUCCAGCCAUCCCGCGUGUGCGAUGAAGGCCUUCGGGUUGUAAAGCACUUUUGGCAGGAAAGCGUUACCUGCAGAAUAAGCACCGGCUAACUCCGUGCCAGCAGCCGCGGUAAUAC